rnacentral:rRNA from 1 species
CCUACGGGAGGCUGCAGUGGGGAAUAUUGCACACUGGGGGAAACCCUGAUGCCGCAACGCCGCGUGAGUGAAGAAGUAUUUCGGUAUGUAAAGCUCUAUCAGCAGGGACGAAGAAAGACGGUACCUGACUAAGAAGCCCCGGCUAACUACGUGCCAGCAGCCGCGGUAAUACGUAGGGGGCAAGCGUUAUCCGGAUUUACUGGGUGUAAAGGGAGCGUAGACGGCUGUGCAAGUCUGAAGUGAAAGCCCGUGGCUCAACCGCGGAACUGCUUGGGAAACUGUAUAGAGUGAGUACUGGAGAGGCAGGCGGAAUUCCUAGUGGAGCGGGGAAAUGCGUAGAUAUUAGGAGGAACACCAGUGGCGAAGGCGGCCUGCUGGACAGAAACUGACGUUGAGGCUCGAAAGCGUGGGGAGCAAACAGGAGGAGAGACCCCAGUAGUC